UACGUAGGGGGCAAGCGUUGUCCGGAAUCAUUGGGCGUAAAGCGCGUGUAGGCGGUUCGGUGAGUCGGCUGUGAAAGUCCAGGGCUCAACCCUGGGAUGCCGGUCGAUACUGCCGGACUAGAGUUCGGAAGAGGCGAGUGGAAUUCCCGGUGUAGCGGUGAAUGCGCAGAUAUCGGAAGGAACAUCAGUGGCGAAAGCGACUUCCUGGACCAAUACUGACGCUCAUGUGCGAAAGCGUGGGAGCAAACAGG
rnacentral:rRNA from 1 species